rnacentral:rRNA from 1 species
UACGUAGGGGGCAAGCGUUGUCCGGAAUCAUUGGGCGUAAAGCGCGUGUAGGCGGCUCGAUAAGUCUGCUGUGAAAGUCCAGGGCUCAACCCUGGGAUGCCGGUGGAUACUGUCGAGCUCGAGUCCGGAAGAGGCGAGUGGAAUUCCUGGUGUAGCGGUGAAAUGCGCAGAUAUCAGGAGGAACACCAAUGGCGAAGGCAGCUCGCUGGGACGGUACUGACGCUGAGACGCGAAGCGUGGGGAGCAAACAGG